CCUACGGGAGGCAGCAGUGAGGAAUAUUGGUCAAUGGGCGUAAGCCUGAACCAGCCAAGUCGCGUGAGGGAUGAAGGUUCUAUGGAUCGUAAACCUCUUUUAUAAGGGAAUAAAGUGCGGGACGUGUCCCGUUUUGUAUGUACCUUAUGAAUAAGGAUCGGCUAACUCCGUGCCAGCAGCCGCGGUAAUACGGAGGAUCCGAGCGUUAUCCGGAUUUCUUGGGUUUAACGGGUGCGUAGGCGGCCUUUUAAGUCAGCGGUGAAAGUCUGUGGCUCAACCCGAGAAUUGCCGUUGAAACUGGGAGGCUUGAGUAUGUUUGAGGCAGGCGGAAUGCGUGGUGUAGCGGUGAAAUGCUUAGAUAUCACGCAGAACCCCGAUUGCGAAGGCAGCCUGCCAAGCCAUGACUGACGCUGAUGCACGAAAGCGUGGGGAGCAAACAGGAUUAGAUACCCGUGUAGUC
rnacentral:rRNA from 1 species